GUGAAUCAUCGAAUCUUUGAACGCACAUUGCGCCCUUUGGUAUUCCGAAGGGCAUGCCUGUUCGAGCGUCAUUAUCACCCCUCAAGCUCUGUGCUUGGUGUUGGACGGCCGGUCGAGCGAUCGACCCCUCCUAAAGACAAUGACGGCGGCCUGUGGUUCCCCCGGUACACUGAGCUUCUCACCGAGCACGUAUCGGACAAGGGCACCCGGGACCCCGGUCUUCCCCUUUCACAAAAGGAAACUUUCUAUGGUUGACCUCGGAUCAGGUAGGAAUACGCGCUGAACUUAAGCAUAUCAAUA
rnacentral:misc_RNA from 1 species